rnacentral:rRNA from 1 species
CAGACCUACGGGAGGCAGCAGUAGGGAAUCUUCCACAAUGGACGAAAGUCUGAUGGAGCAACGCCGCGUGAGUGAAGAAGGGUUUCGGCUCGUAAAGCUCUGUUGGUAGUGCAGAAAGAUAGAGGUAGUAACUGGCCUUUAUUUGACGGUAAUUACUUCGAAAGUCACGGCUAACUACCUGCCAGCAGCCGCGGUAAUACGUAGGUGGCAAGCGUUGUCCGGAUUUAUUGGUC